rnacentral:sRNA from 1 species
UCAUCUAAAUAUGUAUAGCAAUGAGUGCC